CGGCGGGUUGGGGGGCGGCAUGGUAAGCGCGGGGUUCGGAUCUGUGGCUGGCGCCGUCGUCGGCGCCGAGCUCGGCUCCCGGCUUGCCGAC
rnacentral:tRNA from 1 species